UACGUAGGGUGCGAGCGUUGUCCGGAAUUACUGGGCGUAAAGAGCUCGUAGGUGGUUUGUCGCGUUGUUCGUGAAAACUCACAGCUUAACUGUGGGCGUGCGGGCGAUACGGGCAGACUGGAGUACUGCAGGGGAGACUGGAAUUCCUGGUGUAGCGGUGAAAUGCGCAGAUAUCAGGAGGAACACCGGUGGCGAAGGCGGAUCUCUGGGCCUUGCCUGACGCUGAGGCGCGAAAGCUAGGGGAGCGAACAGG
rnacentral:rRNA from 1 species